GUGAGUAGUUCAGAGUUUGAUCCUGGCUCAGGACGAACGCUGGCGGCACGCCUAACACAUGCAAGUCGAACGGAGAACCUUCGGGUUCUUAGUGGCGGACGGGUGAGUAACACGUGAGCAACCUGCCUCUCAGAGGGGGAUAACGUUUGGAAACGAACGCUAAUACCGCAUAACGUAUUUAGAUCACAUGGUCUUAAUACCAAAGGAGCAAUCCGCUGAGAGAUGGGCUCGCGUCCGAUUAGAUAGUUGGCGGGGUAACGGCCCACCAAGUCGACGAUCGGUAGCCGGACUGAGAGGUUGAACGGCCACAUUGGGACUGAGACACGGCCCAG
rnacentral:rRNA from 1 species